GCCUGAGUAGCUCAGGUAGUAGAGCACGUCUUUGGUAAAGACGAGGUCCGCAGUGCAAGCCUGCGCUCAGGCU
rnacentral:tRNA from 1 species